UACGUAGGGGGCAAGCGUUAUCCGGAUUUACUGGGUGUAAGGGGAGCGCAGACGGCAGUGCAAGUCUGGAGUGAAAGCCCGGGGCCCAACCCCGGGACUGCUCUGGAAACUGUACGGCUAGAGUACGGGAGGGGCAGGCGGAAUUCCUAGUGUAGCGGUGAAAUGCGUAGAUAUUAGGAGGAACACCGGCGGCGAAGGCGGCCUGCUGGACCGAAACUGACGUUGAGGCUCGAAAGCGUGGGGAGCAAACAGG
rnacentral:rRNA from 1 species